CAUCUUGACAUUCCACAAAACAUCACACAGGCCCACCACGCUGAUGACAGUAUGCUGAUCAGCUGAAGUGAUCGAUCCCAAUUAGCUGGGUAAAUUGGGCUGCUGCUGUACAACAGAGGCACACAGGACUCUGUCUGGGAGCCAGGGGGCUUCACUGAAUCUUCUCUUAGUACUACAUGGCCAACAGUAAAGAUUAAUGGAAAAGUACAUAGCAACAACAACAACAACAACAACAACAAAAAGGCAAGACAACCGGGCCUUUUGAGAAUGAAGAUCUGGGUCACUAUACCAGUCUUUAGGUAACAGAACGUUCCAUGGGACGAUGACUAAAUUUGAAGAUUUAGCCAGCGGUGGAUACAAGAACUCUUGGGAGUCUGUGUCUUCUCUUGAGGGAAAGCACAGAUCCUCAUGGAAUUCUCUCGAGGGGAAUCCAAGGACGGAGGCCGCCAUCGGCACAACACAGCCUCUCCUACCGGUAACACUGCGACCUUUGGCUCUUGUGAUUCAUGCCGCUACGAACGUCUACCCAGAAGCGUAAUUGCUAGAUCGCAUGGCUGUCUCUGUGCUGAGGACCAGCCUGAAAUGUAAACUUCGGGUCUUCUCGGAGAUCUUUUCCAAGCCUUUCCCUGGGCAAGUACAAUCACUUUCUGAUUU